GACAGAGGGUGCAAACGUUGCUCGGAAUCACUGGGCGUAAAGGGCGUGUAGGCGGGAGGGAUAGUCAGAUGUGAAAUCCCUGGGCUCAACCCAGGAACUGCAUUUGAAACUCCCCUUCUUGAGUACCGGAGAGGAAAGUGGAAUUCCUGGUGUAGAGGUGAAAUUCGUAGAUAUCAGGAGGAACACCAGUGGCGAAGGCGGCUUUCUGGACGGUAACUGACGCUGAGACGCGAAAGCGUGGGGAGCGAACAGG
rnacentral:rRNA from 1 species